rnacentral:lncRNA from 1 species
CUGUGUACUCCUUGGAUCUCAGAAUGAGCUGAAGAUCAGUGUCCCAAGUGUGACAGGGUAAACUCCCAAGAACGUCCAUUGAGAGCCUCAAACUAUGUAUUUCCUGGGACGUGACCUGAGCAGAAGAGCCCAGAUAAAGGGAGGGAAGAGAAAUGCAGAAGCUCCUCACAGGACCACAUCAUAGGGGCUGAGCUUCCUCAGAGCCUUGCUGCUUCUAAGAUCCAAGGAAUAUCUUGCCUUCCAGCACAUGGAGGAAGGCCCAGCAAUGACAGAGCCCCCUGAGAAAAGAGUGCCAGGGAUCUCCUGUGAAGAUUCAAAGCUUCCACGAACCAUCUAUCUCCCAAAGGCAUCUGGUCCACAGAAGGAAGCCGGGUCUCCCAGAGGAUUGCCUGGUAGCUCCAUGGAG